rnacentral:rRNA from 1 species
GACGAACGCUGGCGGCGUGCUUAACACAUGCAAGUCGAACGGGCCCGCCCCUGUUUUUGGGGGUGGGUUGAGUGGCGAACGGGUGAGUAUCACGUGGGUAACCUGCCCCCUGCUCCUGGAUAACUGCUUGAAAGGGCGGCUAAUACGGGGUGUGCCGGCUGGUCCGCAUGGGCCUGGUCGGGAUAGUUUCAUCUUCGGGUGUUUCGGUGGGGGAUGGGCUCGCGGCCUAUCAGCUUGUUGGUGGGGUGAUGGCCCACCAAGGCGGUGACGGGUAGCCGGCCUGAGAGGGUGGGCGGCCACACUGGGACUGAGACACGGCCCAGACUCCUGCGGGAGGCAGCAGUGGGGGGUAUUGCACAAUGGGCGGAAGCCUGAUGCAGCGACGUCGCGUGAGGGAUGGAGGCCUUCGGGUUGUGAACCUCUUUCUCCGGUGGUGAAGGCCCUGUCCGUUGCGGCGGGGUUGACGGUAGCCGGGUAUGAAGCGCCGGCUAACUACGUG